GUCUACAGCUAUACCACCCUGAAUGCAUCCAUCUCCUCUGAUCUCCGACGCUAAGCAGGGUUGGGCCUGGCUAGUACUUGGAUGAGGACCACCUGGGAAUACUGGGUGCUAUAGACU
rnacentral:rRNA from 1 species